CACCUUUCAGGACUGUACCUGGAGAAUUUUUAGUACUCUACCAGUCUCGGCUAUGGGAGGGAGAGUCAGGCAGAGACCUACCCAUUCCAUUCUUAGCUUGGGCAGUGGCUUGCUAGUGGAAAGCAAUCUGCUACAAGU